GAUGAACGCUGGCGGCGUGCCUAAUACAUGCAAGUCGAGCGAACAGAUGAGGAGCUUGCUCCUCUGACGUUAGCGGCGGACGGGUGAGUAACACGUGGAUAACCUACCUAUAAGACUGGGAUAACUUCGGGAAACCGGAGCUAAUACCGGAUAAUAUAGUGAACCGCAUGGUUCAUUAGUGAAAGACGGUUUUGCUGUCACUUAUAGAUGGAUCCGCGCCGCAUUAGCUAGUUGGUAAGGUAACGGCUUACCAAGGCAACGAUGCGUAGCCGACCUGAGAGGAUGAUCGGCCACACUGGAACUGAGACACGGUCCAGACUCCUACGGGAGGCAGCAGUAGGGAAUAUUCGGCAAUGGGCGAAAGCCUGACGGAGCAACGCCGCGUGAGUGAUGAAGGUCUUCGGAUCGUAAAACUCUGUUAUUAGGGAAGAAUAGAUGUGUAAGUAACUAUGCACGUCUUGACGGUACCUAAUCAGAAAGCCACGGCUAACUACGUG
rnacentral:rRNA from 1 species